ACAAACUUGGUCAUUUAGAGGAAGUAAAAGUCGUAACAAGGUUUCCGUAGGUGAACCUGCGGAAGGAUCAUUAUCGAGUCCUUUGAAAGGGGUUGCAGCUGGCCUCUCUCCGGGGCAAGUGCUCGCCCCGCUCAAAAUUUACACUCUUUCAAACACCAGUGCACUUUUUUUAAAGACCUCUCUCCGUGUUUUGGACUUCUUCGGGAGGCCAAGCCCCGGGGGUGCGUUUUUAUCUCAUUACAACACCCUUGAGUUUUUUUUUGAAUGACGUUUCGGAUACAUUUUAAAACAACUUUCAACAACGGAUCUCUUGGCUCUCGCAUCGAUGAAGAACGCAGC
rnacentral:misc_RNA from 1 species